GCAAGAUCUAGACAUAUAAACACUCUAAAUCACAUAAAUGAUCAACAAGGCAAGAUCUAGACAUAUAAACACUCUAAAUCACAUAAAUGAUAAACAAGGCAAGAUCUAGACUAAUAAACUCUAAAUCACAUAAAUGAUCAGCAAGGCAAAUUCUAGACAAAUAAACACUCUAAAUCACAAAAAUGAUCAGCAAGGCAAGAUCUAGACAAAUAAACACUCUAAAUCACAUAAAUGAUCAGCAAGGCAAGAUCUAGACAAAUAAACACUAUAAAUCACAAAAAUGAUAAGUUAGGCAAGAUCUAGACAAAUAAACACUCUAAAUCACAACAAUGAUCAGCAAGGCAAGAUCUAGACAAAUAAACACUCUAAAUCACA
rnacentral:lncRNA from 1 species